UUACUGCUGAAAGGGAUGCUGUCCGGGAAAAUACACAGGCUCAAGAAACUACUGCUGAAGGAAGAAAGGAGAUCGGUACUGCUGAAGGAAGAAUGAACCUCGGUACUGCUGAAGGAAGAAUGAACCUUGGUACUGCUGGAGGAAGAAUAAACCUCGGUACUGCUGAAGGAAGAAAGGAGCUCAGUCGCAUUAUUGCUCAGAAGGUGCCCCCUUGUCAUUAUCAAGAAUGGAAGCCUCUUCACAUUCCGCAGC
rnacentral:lncRNA from 1 species